UACGGAGGGGGCUAGCGUUGUUCGGAAUCAUUGGGCGUAAAGAGCGUGUAGGCGGCCUGAUAAGUCGGCUGUGAAAGUCAAGGGCUCAACCCUUGAAUGCCGGCCGAUACUGUCAGGCUAGAGUCCGGAAGAGGCGAGUGGAAUUCCUGGUGUAGCGGUGAAAUGCGCAGAUAUCAGGAGGAACACCUAUGGCGAAGGCAGCUCGCUGGGACGGUACUGACGCUGAGACGCGAAAGCGUGGGGAGCGAACAGG
rnacentral:rRNA from 1 species